rnacentral:misc_RNA from 1 species
UGGCUUUUAAUCUUAGUAUAGAAGACGGAAUGGAGUCUUGGCAGCAGAUCUUUGUAAGGAUGCCCCUAAGUGGAAUUGUGCCACCAAAAUCCACUUACACUCUUGUUGUCACAAUGAGGGAGCUGACGUAUCUACCAACACAAAACUUUAAUUUGACCCUGCAGUCUAAUAUAUGCGAAGAUAGGUACAUCUAUUCAUUUAUGAGCCUAUCAGAAUCUGAUCAGUUUUUUGAGGAUUUAAAGGAGAUAAGGAAUGUGGCGCCGCCUCAGGUGAAACUGAAAGCAGUUUUUUCUCUGCAAGGACAGACAACGUUUGAGAACGGAUCGUCAACUGGAG